AUUGAACGCUGGCGGCAGGCUUAACACAUGCAAGUCGAGCGGGGGAAGGUAGCUUGCUACCUAACCUAGCGGCGGACGGGUGAGUAAUGCUUAGGAAUCUGCCUAUUAGUGGGGGACAACAUUUCGAAAGGGAUGCUAAUACCGCAUACGCCCUAAGGGGGAAAGCAGGGGAUCUUCGGACCUUGCGCUAAUAGAUGAGCCUAAGUCGGAUUAGCUAGUUGGUGGGGUAAAGGCCUACCAAGGCGACGAUCUGUAGCGGGUCUGAGAGGAUGAGCCGCCACACUGGGACUGAGACACGGCCCAGACUCCUACGGGAGGCAGCAGUGGGGAAUAUUGGACGAUGGGGGGAACCCUGAUCCAGCCAUGCCGCGUGUGUGAAGAAGGCCUUUUGGUUGUAAAGCACUUUAAGCGAGGAGGAGGCUACCGAGAUUAAUACUCUUGGAUAGUGGACGUUACUCGCAGAAUAAGCACCGGCUAACUCUGUGCCAGCAGCCGCCGUAAAAC
rnacentral:rRNA from 1 species